UUAUUUACCUUUAAAUAAGUAAGAUUAAAUAAAAACAAAGGCAGGGAUGAUAUGGCACAAAGGCUCCUUCUGGGUGAUGUGUGCAUAGCACCCCUUUUUUUGUGUGCAUCAGCUUUUUAUAGCUGCUUCCUUUGGACAGCUGCAGAGGAGAGGAAAUCAGGAAAAAAUGACAAACGUUGCAUGAUAGUACCCCAGACUGAGCUUGUCCAAAGAGGUCAGAAAUAUCAGCCCUGUUCAGCAGAAGCCAUUUCUUCUUGAUUUCACAGAGGUUUAAGUUGGAGCUUUUGAUCUGCAGUGGUUCUGGCUCAACUCUUCUGCACAGCCUUUGCUGUCACCCCCGGAAAAAGAAUUCCUAAUCACAGAUGUGGUCAAACAUUUACAAAACAUCUUUAAGUGACUAGGAUAUAAACCUCCCAAGUUCUUUUAAAAUUGCUACAGGUUAAUUUAGAACCAGAUUCAACCAUACCCCUUACAUAGAAGACAAAAGGAGCCUUUCCCUCUUGCUCAAACAGUACAAGAAGCCAAACAGAAUUUCAGCACUUGCAUUCAUGGGCAUGAAAUUGCAGGGCCUUCCAUACAAUGCUGGAGUGCAGAGCAUCCAACGGGAGCUAGAGAAGGCUAAAGAGGCAGGACCAUGGCCAAAAUGCCUUAAGCCCAGCUGGCUGGUUGCACAGGCAGACAGAAAACUUCACUGGAAAGAAUGAGGCGAGGAGAUCUAAGUGAAGUGUAAAACAUACUGAGAAUUCAAUGACAUGUUGACAAAUACCACUCCACUUUUUUCCCCCCUAUCAGAACCUAACAGCAGAAGAAGAGAUUUCUAAAGUGGUGUUUUUACAGGCCAGGCUUAGCCUCUCUCUCAUCUUAUCAGCAGCCUUCAAAAGCCUCCAGAUGGAUCUCCUCCAGAAAAAAAAUCUCCACCUUUCUAUAUAAAUACAUUGGCUCUAUCAUGUAGGCUUUGUUAUAGCUUGAGAGGCUUUGGAAAAACACACCUGACUUUCAAAACUGUUCUCCACAUACUCCAACCCACAAGCUUAAGAGCAGACUUAAUG